rnacentral:pre_miRNA from 1 species
GUUUCAGCAGUAUUAAAGUGCUUAUAGUGCAGGUAGUGUUACUUCGAUCUACUGCAGUGUGAGCACUUGAAGUACUUCUAG